GAGGGGAGAAGACUAACAGGAUUCCCCUAGUAACUGCGAGUGAAGCGGGAAAAGCUCAAAUUUAAAAUCUGGCGGUCUUUGGUCGUCCGAGUUGUAGUCUGGAGAAGUGCUUUCCGCGCUGGACCGUGUAUAAGUCUCUUGGAACAGAGCGUCAUAGAGGGUGAGAAUCCCGUCUUUGACACGGACUACCAGUGCUUUGUGAUGCGCUCUCAAAGAGUCGAGUUGUUUGGGAAUGCAGCUCAAAAUGGGUGGUGAAUUCCAUCUAAAGCUAAAUAUUGGCGAGAGACCGAUAGCGAACAAGUACCGUGAGGGAAAGAUGAAAAGCACUUUGGAAAGAGAGUUAAACAGUACGUGAAAUUGCUGAAAGGGAAACGCUUGAAGUCAGUCGCGUUGUCUGGGACUCAGCCUUGCUUUUGCUUGGUGCACUUUCCGGAUGACGGGCCAGCAUCGAUUUUGACCGUCGGAAAAGGGCUAGGGUAAUGUGGCACCUCCGGGUGUGUUAUAGACUUUAGUCGCAUACGGCGGUCGGGAUCGAGGAACGCAGCGCGCCGUAAGGCAGGGGUUCGCCCACUUUCGCGCUUAGGAUGCUGGCGUAAUGGCUUUAAACGACCCGUCUUGAAACACGGACCAAGGAGUCUAACAUACCUGCGAGUGUUUGGGUGGAAAACCCGAGCGCGUAAUGAAAGUGAAAGUUGAGACCUCUGUCGUGGAGGGCAUCGACGCCCGGACCUGACGUUCUCUGACGGAUCCGCGGUAGAGCAUGUAUGUUGGGACCCGAAAGAUGGUGAACUAUGCCUGAAUAGGGUGAAGCCAGAGGAAACUCUGGUGGAGGCUCGUAGCGAUUCUGACGUGCAAAUCGAUCGUCAAAUUUGGGUAUAGGGGCGAAAGACUAAUCGAACCAUCAAU
rnacentral:rRNA from 1 species